CCUACGGGGGGCAGCAGUGGGGAAUUUUGGACAAUGGGGGCAACCCUGAUCCAGCCAUUCCGCGUGAGUGAAGAAGGCCUUCGGGUUGUAAAGCUCUUUCGGCAGGAACGAAAAGGCUCUCUCUAACAUAGGGGGUCAAUGACGGUACCUGAAGAAGAAGCACCGGCUAACUACGUGCCAGCAGCCGCGGUAAUACGUAGGGUGCGAGCGUUAAUCGGAAUUACUGGGCGUAAAGCGUGCGCAGGCGGCUUUGUAAGACAGAUGUGAAAUCCCCGGGCUUAACCUGGGAACUGCGUUUGUGACUGCAAGGCUUGAGUGCGGCAGAGGGGGGUGGAAUUCCACGUGUAGCAGUGAAAUGCGUAGAGAUGUGGAGGAACACCGAUGGCGAAGGCAGCCCCCUGGGUCGACACUGACGCUCAUGCACGAAAGCGUGGGUAGCAAACAGGAUUAGAUACCCCAGUAGUC
rnacentral:rRNA from 1 species